GUGCCCGCUUCAGCAGCACAUGUACUAAAAUUAGAAUACAGAGAAGAUUAGCAUAGCUCUGGGCAAGGAUAACACACAAAUUCACAAAGUGUUCCAUAUUUCU
ensembl:snRNA U6 U6 spliceosomal RNA